GACAGAGGGUGCAAACGUUGUUCGGAAUUACUGGGCGUAAAGCGUGCGUAGGUGGUUCGUUGUGUCUGUGGUGAAAGCCCCGGGCUUAACCUGGGAAUGGCCAUGGAAACUGGCGAGCUGGAGUGUGGCAGAGGGGGGUGGAAUUCCGCGUGUAGCAGUGAAAUGCGUAGAGAUGCGGAGGAACACCGAUGGCGAAGGCAGCCCCCUGGGCUAACACUGACGCUGAGGCACGAAAGCGUGGGGAGCAAACAGG
rnacentral:rRNA from 1 species